AGUUCAAACUUAAGUUUGUAGUUGAGAACAAUAACUUCUGUAAUUUGAACUAGUUAACUUUCGGGUGUGAAUUCGAAACUGAAAUGAUAGGUUAUAAAUGCGAAGUAAACCACUUGUCCUUGGAACUAGUUAACCAUUAAAUUGUCCUUUAGGUUCUAUAAUUUUUUUGGUAGCUGUUAUGAUAGGACAGUUUCCUACUAGAAUUCAAUAGAUUUGCUUUAAUAAUCCCUUAUUUAGUCGCCUCCUUUAGUUUAGGUAGUUGAGUAAACCAGAGUCUUCUUUCUAAAUGGCAAACUCCCCAAGUUUUGUAAACCUUUUAG
rnacentral:lncRNA from 1 species